UAUUAAAAAUUUGAGAUGUACAUCCCAAUUUCGAUCCAUAUUAUUUUAGAAUUUUGAAUGUCAAAUUUCAUUCGAGUGCACCAAAAUUGAAAGUUUUUGUUACCAACUUGGUCAAAACUGAUCAAAAUCGAAAUUUCCAAUCCACCUUCCACCUGUUCCAAUAAUCUAUUGGCUUGGACUUUCAAGCCCAACACCAAUGUAUGUUGACCCAACGUAACUUUAGGAGAAGAAAAUGCCCUCCAUUCCAAAAGCCCUUCCGGUCAAACACGGUGGAUACUGGAUACGCAGGUUCAAACACGAACGGGCUUUUCCUCCUCGCCGAGUCCCUCCUCGGACCUCAGUCAAUGGCAGUCUCUCUGAGAAGACUUGCAGCGGCAUUCGGCUACUCGCCACAUCUUCAAUGCGUUCAAAGCUUGUUUCCGUUGCGCUUUGGAAAUAGUUAGAGUUCCUCUGUGUCGUAUGAUCAGAGGACGGUGCUCCGACCUUUCAUCCAGAAUUCCAACAAUGGCAUAACGGAGGUGGGUCUUUCCACAAGUCUGCCUGCAUUGACCCAACAGUGUUCAUAGAGUUUGGUGCUGUAGUUCAUUCAAAAUCCGUUGUUGGCGAGCAUGCUCGUAUUGGUUCUGGAGCUGUCAUUGGAACUUCGGUCGCUAUUGGCAAUCAACCAAAAUUGGGUGACGAUCAAAUUUUUAACUCGACAUUGCGACUCCACUAAACUGUGAUAGCACUUCUGCCAUUGCAAUCACUAAGAACCCUAUUUUUCACCAGAAGACUAAACACGUCAACAGGAGAUAUCAUUUUAUCGAGGAGGCUUUGCGGAAUGAGAUCAUUGACUUGGUGUACUGUUCAACCAAAGAACAGGUAGCUGAUAUAUUCACAAAGGCUCUUACCAAAGAUCAAUUCCGUCAUCUCAGAGAGCUAUUGGGAGUGAAAUCAGUUCACAAUUUAGGGGGAGUGUUGAUGUGUAAAUUGAUGAACUGAUAUGAAGAAGAUUACAAGUUUUGUGUAGUGUAAUGCUUCAGCUCAUAGGCUAAGCUUAUGUUUUUUUGUUUUUUUGUUUUUAUUGGAGAGUUUCGAAUUCUAGACUUAACAUACUCUUACACAUCACAUUACUCACACCCUCAACUUUUCUUUUGGCACUUUUUCAUUUCAUUCAUCUUCGAAUUAAAUGAAACGUUUUUUUUU